AGGUGCGAUCAUGCCAGGACUAAUGCACCGGAUCCCAUCAGAACUCCGCAGUGAAGCGUGCUUGGGCGAGAGUAGUACUAGGAUAGGUGACCUCUUGGGAAGUCCUCGUGUUGCACCUC
rnacentral:rRNA from 2 species